rnacentral:rRNA from 1 species
UACGGAGGGGGCUAGCGUUGUUCGGAAUUACUGGGCGUAAAGCGCACGUAGGCGGCUUGGUAAGUUAGAGGUGAAAGCCUGGAGCUCAACUCCAGAAUUGCCUUUAAGACUGCCGAGCUAGCAGGUGAGAGAGGUGAGAGGAAUUCCGAGUGUAGAGGUGAAAUUCGUAGAUAUUCGGAAGAACACCAGUGGCGAAGGCGGCUCACUGGCUCAUACUGGACGCUGAGGUGCGAAAGCGUGGGGAGCAAACAGG